CGCAAGCCUGACGGAGCUACACCGCGUGAGGGAAGACGGCCUUUGGGCUGUAAACCUCUUUUCUCAGGGAAGAAGUUCUGACGGUACCUGAGGAAUCAGCCUCGGCUAACUCCGUGCCAGCAGCCGCGGUAAUACGGAGGAGGCAAGCGUUAUUCGGAAUUAUUGGGCGUAAAGCGUCCGCAGGGGGCUCAUCAAGUCUGCUGUUAAAGGCUGGAGCUCAACUCCGGUAGAGCAGUGGAAACUGGUGCGCUAGAGGGCGACAGGGGUAGAGGGAAUUCCCAGUGUAGCGGUGAAAUGCGUAGGGAUUGGGAAGAACACCGGUGGCGAAAGCGCUCUACUGGGUCGCACCUGACCCUCAGGGACGAAAGCUAAGGUAGCG
rnacentral:rRNA from 1 species